UCUCAGACUCCAAAUGAAACAGUUCACUGUAAUGUGGUUACCGGUUUGAAAGUUUCCCCCCCACCUUUACCGUGGUGAACUUUGACGAGGGAGAAGGAUCCUCGUGCUCCCUUUAAUGAGAUCUCUCGGGGAUCCGGCGUGAUGAGGGGAGUUUUUAAAACAACCUCUUCAGUCUGAAUGGCUUCUAAACACUUCCUUCAUCCUCGGUGAAAAACAAAAUGCUAAUUUAUUUUAGUACCGAAGAAGAAAAUGUGUGGAUAACUUCUUUGGAAUCUCGCAGCCUGUAAUUGAGCUAAAGCUUUUAUGUGCCUCCUUCCACCCCCACUUUCAUCUGCGUUUUUCUCUCCCAUGACUAAUGACUACAUCGGGUCUGUUUAUCCAACCAACAGGAAGUGAGAGUUUUAGACGGUUAGAGCUCAAGAAUAAGAUGCUCUGAAGUUCAAAACCUCACUGCAGUUUUCAUUGAUAGGACGUUUUAGCCGAAGCGUCUUUACCACGCGGUGCAGGAGUAACAUCUUAAAUGCUUUGUGCAAGAGAGGAAACGAGAUAUCAAAGUGGCGUCCAUUUGUGAUGUCAGGCUGCUGUGAGAUUGUAAUGUUAACAUAAUGAUCAUUUCGCUGCUUCGUGAUUGAUCUGCAUCCGAAAAGCUGACGGAUCGUGAACAUCUGGAUGGACAUUGAGCCAUACAUCAAGACUCCUGUGGGCUGUAGUAGUAGCUGCCAUCGUCAUCGACAACAACCUCUCCAUAUUCAUCGUAGAGGCCGGAGGGCGAGAUCAGCUUCCUGCGACUGCCAUACUGAGGAAGGUUUUACUAUGGUGGUCGUCCUCGGCCAAUCAGCAGUGAAGACAGGGGAGAGACCUGCUGUACAGACAAAAGUUUUGCACUUGGCUAAUGCUUAUCCACAGCCGCUUACAGCAAAUAACAUGCAGGGCCACACUGUGCUUCACUCCAAUGAUAAGCAGUGUCUAAUGACUUGCCUAAGCAAAGCUGCCUUAAUCACAAAAGGAGCAUUUUGUUGCCAGGAGACAUUUUGUUAGCAGAAAACACUGAAAUCGAUUCCCCUGCCUUUUGUCUCUCUUUGUUGCCUGUUGCCGGGAGCACUUGCCUGGCCUCGCCGGCCAAAUAAGCUGUGUUGUGCAUCACCGCUUGGGCUCGGUGCCCUGCGGCAAGCUACUCGGGGAAAAGCCGCUGGGUCAGAAAACACAGCUUUUUCAACUGCUGUCCUGGAAACAAUAUGUCCCGGCGCGAUUAGAGAAACAAAUCUGCUGGAAGUCCUUCGGUUUGGUUCCUGCGACAGAGUUUGUACAGAAAAGUUUCCACGUGUAACCGCUCUGCUCUUAUAGGAAGUCGCCCUUCCUUAUAACAUUAAAAUAGUCCAGUAAUAAACGAAUGAUAAUGUAGAUGACUGCAGACAGAGGGAUGUAAGGGGAAAAAAAGAGAGGCGACUGAACAAUCGCUGGGUCAGAGCAGAAAGACCAGGUCAGUCGUAAAUGUUUCACAGUUAUAAUCCUCAGAGUGUGGCCCUCUGCAAGCUAAUGUAAUAAGUCCUAACCUUCCACUAAAACCUACUUAUGGGAUUUCACAGUCAUUAACCUGCAAAAUGAAGUGCACACACAAUCAAAUUACUUAAAGGCUACAGUAACUCAACUCAUUGCUUACAUUUCCCUCCCUUCAUCUUCCUCAAAUACUCCCUCCUCUGCUCCCUCACCACUUCUCCACCAGGGGGCACUAACAAACUGAGAAUCACAAUCAACAGACUCACUGGCAUCACAGCCAAAAGAACUGAUGUUGUGUGCACGGACCAAAACUGACCAAUGUGGGUCACAGGCCUGUUGCAGGCAGGUCUCUAAAUGCUAAGUAAUUGAUUAACGGUCAGUCAAUAAUGGUAAAGUCCUGUGACGUGUGACCACAUUCACUCCUUAAGAGGCUCACACAUGACAAACAGGACCAGUACUAUUCGCUUAAAUCAAGUCACUUGGAUUUUCCCUAUUCUUACAAAAAUAAAAGGAAAUUAAUAUAUUACUCAAAAGGACAAUAAGCUAUUGGUGACAAAACUGGGAAUUUUACAUUUGUAGGUUUUGUCGGUGUAAUAUGGUAAGUCCGUCAAUUUGAGUGAAGUCAAUUUAGUAACAAUAUAAACAGCCUGUAAAAAACAACUGUACAGUGAUUUCUGUGGCUCUGCAGUGGGAUAUAUGUCAACUAAAAUGUAUUCAAGUUGCAUCAUGGGAGGUAGGGAUGUUAAAUAGUCAUGAAUCAAUAAAUUAAUUGAUCUACCAAUAUUCAAAAGAUGGGCACAGAUACAUCAAAGGUAUCUUGUUACAGAUCACAAAUACUUGCUUAUUGAAUAAUAAAUAAAACACAGCUAACUUGUCUUUUACAAAUUCAAGGACAUUCAAACUAAUAUUAUUACAUUUAUUCAGUUGGUUGCCUUUGUUUUGGUUGGAUUUUGUUGGCUCAGGUGUUGAGUGGGGACAGACAACACUCUGCAAUCGAAACAAAGUCAUUAUUUUGUCUCAUUUAGUUUAAGAUUAAAGUAAAUUGAUGUUAGCAUAAGACUGGGGACGGAGAGAACGGCUAGCCUGGCUCUGCCCAAUCAACCCUCCAGCCCCUCCAAACUCAAGUGUGGCAUCAGUCCUUUCCUCUAACUCACAAGACAAGAAAGCCAAUAGGCACAUUUAACAAAAUGUUCAGCCAUCCUUUUUUGUCCUCUUUGUCCUGUUUACAUCAAGGAGAUGCGUCCUCACUGAGCGGAUAAUGCCAGAUGAUCAUAUAUUUUUCAUGAUGGCGUCCUAACUCGGCACCUAUCGGCUUCACGCCUGUCUCACUCAUGUUCACCCACGCCAGUAACGAUUUUAGAAAAGCGAGAUUUAAUCCCUUAUGGCUCGGCGGCGUGUCAGGGUUGAGUAUUUCUCUCGUAGCUAGAGGGCAACAUGAUUUGAGCUGCUUUUUUUGUUUUUUUUGUUUUGUGUUUUUGUCAGACAUGCAUCACAACAAAUCAGACCUGUGCAACAAGUUAUUUUCAUCAUCUGUGUAAAAUCCAAUACGAAUCAUGCCAAUGGCGGAUGGCCGCGUUCCCACAUGCGGGGAAAAUCCUAUUUCGAUUUCAUCAUUUGAAGACGGAAGACGAGGAGAAGGUCGAAAGGUUACGAUCCAUCCCUCCAUGUAGUCCACAGAUGGAUUGCUCUGGCUGUGGAGGUAAACAUCGGAACUGCUGUUGUCCUUAUCUCCAGAACGCGCUGAAAACUUUAUCUCCAUCCUUGGAGGUGGUUUAGCGAGCAUUAGCGUUCGACUUGGAGAAAAAAAAAAUCCUGCGUCUUUUAUGUACCACAACAAAUAAAGUGAUUACAUCUGAGUCCCGACGGGUCACAAAGUCUGAUUUCCUGCUUCUGUGUACGUACAGAGUCAGACAUGAGUUUGUGGAUGUUGCUCUAAGCCAACAGCAUCUGGCCCAUUGUCUGCCUCCACGGCUGGCUGCCUGAUUAGCUGCUACAGUACUGCAAUGCUAGGCAGAAAGAA